ACUCCCGUUUGAUGUUCUUAAAUUAUAUUGUUGUUGUAAUACGGUUCGCAAAAACCGCUGAUUGCUUAGUACCCAAUUAAUUUACCACACAAUUUAGAAAUAGAACUGAUAACGGGUUUUUCG
rnacentral:sRNA from 1 species